rnacentral:rRNA from 1 species
UACGUAGGGGGCGAGCGUUGUCCGAAGUUACUGGGCGUAAAGCGCACGUAGGCGGUUAUCUAAGUCUGGGGUGAAAGGUUCAGUGCUUAACGCGAACAGUGCCUUGGAGACUGGAUGACUUGAGUUUGGGAGAGGGUAGUGGAAUGGCUGGUGUAGCGGUGAAAUGCGUAGAUAUCAGUCGGAACACCAAUGGCGAAGGCAGCUACCUGGCCUAAAACUGACGCUGAGGUGACGAAAGCGUGGGGAGCGAACGGGA